UGUAUGCGCCAGGACCUGUGGGGGGAAAACCAUGAUAGUUAUGUACAGUGUGAAUCCCCAGGGAUUAAAGGGAGCAUCAUACUGGAGAGGGCUUUCAACAGAGGCUGGAGAGAAGGAGGGAUAUUUCUUUUUCACAUUCCCUGGCCCUUUUUAGUCCUGGAAUAAGAGUAGGCAUCUGGAGUCUGAACUGCUGGUGCUCAUGGGUGGUGAGGCUAGCAUGCUGAAUUAAACAAACAGAAAAGAAUGGUUACUUACCUUACACUAACUGCAGUUCUUCAAGAUGUGUCAUCGUAAUCAACUACAUCUUGCUUUAAUUUUCUCAGAGCUCUCAGUAUCUUAGGAAUUGGCAGAAAGGUAUAUGUUCAUCCCAGUGUCAAGAAGUCUGGGCUUGAACCACCUCAGGAGCAAAAUGCCUGAUAUUUUGUUGCUCUGGUCUGUAGCAAACACGUCUGUUGCUGGGAAUUGCUACGUGUAAAAGAUGUUCUGCAGAACUGAGUCUUUGAUAGACCACUCCCGGUUGUUUGAGAACUACCUGCUAAGUCAAUCUGCCACGAUGUUUUGAGGGCCAGGAAGGUGCAGCACUACUGGUUGAUUUGAUCUGGAAUGCACCCAACUCCACAGUGGAGACAGUCUUGCUCCCCCUGUCUGUUGACAUAGUAGCUGUGGCGUUGUCUGUCAGCACUGGGAUCAUAGAUUCCUAGAGUAGCAGCAGGUGUAUUUUGCGUGAAAGCAGAUAGCUCUGAGCUCUAGGAUGUUUAUGUGAAGAUGAGUUUUCUGGGGGGAUCAUAGGCCCUUAGUCUGAGGGUGAUUUAGACAAGUCCUCCAUCCCCAAGUAAAGGUUUUUAUUGCUAAUCUCUUGGUAGGUAGAGGUGCAGAACAGAGUAUCCCCUUGCAUACCUGAAUUGGGCCUUAUCACCAGUUGAAUGGGGAGAGGACUUUUUGUGGGAGCAUGUAGUGUCUAUUGAGUAGAUACAGCAAAAAUCCUGUGGCACCUUAUACACUAACAG